CCCCAUGGCCGAAUAUAGCAAGGAGAAACCAUGGCUAGGGUUUUUCAAGCUUCCAAGCUCGCUUAGCAAGGAAAACUAAAAUUCGGGCUAAAAUGGGGAAAAUGCCAAGUUGUGGAUGAAAUGGUAAAAGUAGCCAUUUUCGCAUACGAGGAUAGGUUAAAGUCAGACCGUUGAAUCAGCAUCCUA